CCUGCGGAGGAUCAUUACCGAGUUUUCGAGCUUCGGCUCGACU
rnacentral:rRNA from 1 species